GACGGGACUGUCCAAUUCAGACUGUUUAUUGCAAGGAUCGUCGGCACUAAUCAUUAAUUUUAAAAUCUUGAGCUGUUAGAAAAAUACAACAAAUUUACUUAAAACGUAUAAACACAGUGUCUAGAAAUUUUUAUUGUGAUUCAAUCUAAUCCAAUUAAUCUUCCGUGACCUCGAACAUGAUUCGGUCUAAUUCAACCUUUCGCUAUGCCCCAAAUGAUUCGGCAGAAUCCGACCUUCCACCACC
rnacentral:lncRNA from 1 species